rnacentral:rRNA from 1 species
UCCCAGCAGUCCAAGUCGCAGCCACAUUUGUUGGGUCUAAAACAUCCGUAGCUUGCCUUUCAAGUCUCUUGUGAAAUCGGGACUCUUAAAGUUCCGGCGGGCAAGAGAUACUGUUUGGCUAGAGACCGGGAGGCGUAAGAAGUACACACGGGGUAACGGUAAAAUGUGUUGAUCCUAUGUGGACUAACAGUCGCGAAGGCGUUUUACGAGAACGGUUCUGACAGUGAGGGAUGAAGGCUAGGGGCGCAAAGUG